GUGAAUCAUCAAAUUUUUGAACGCAAAUUGCACUUUCUGGUAUUCCGGAAAGUAUGCCUGUUUGGGGUUCAGUUAAAUAAACAUCUGUGUCGUUGCUUCCUUUCUUGGUGGCGCGUCGGAAUUGCGUCGUCUUGCGUUCUUUUAAUUGACUUAAAAUUUUUGCAUGAUUUUCGACCGUAUUUAAUUCUCUUACGUACGUUUGAGAUAUCGAUUUCUUAUUAUGUUCGGUCAUUCCGAUGUUUCGCACCUC
rnacentral:misc_RNA from 1 species